AUUGAACGAUGGCGGCAGGCUUAACACAUGCAAGUCGAGCGAGCGGCGGACGGGUGAGUAAUGUCUGGGAAACUGACUGAUGGAGGGGGAUAAAUACUGGAAACGGUAGCUAAUACCGCAUAACCUCAGAUGUGCCCAGAUGGGCUUAGCUAGUCGGUGUGGUAAUGGCUCACCUAGGCGACGAUACCUAGCUGGUCUGAGCGGCUGACCAGCCACACUUGACCUUAGCCACGUUCCAGACUCCUACGGGAGGCAGCAGUGGGGAUUUUUGCACAAUGGGCUCAAUCCUGCUACAGCCAUUCCGCGUGUGUGACGAAGGCCUUCGGUUUGUAAAGCACUUUCAGCGAGGAGGCGUUACUCGCAGAAGAAGCACCGGCUAACUCCGUGCCAGCAGCCGCGGUAAUAC
rnacentral:rRNA from 1 species